rnacentral:rRNA from 1 species
CAUGUGGUUUAAUUCGAAGCAACGCGAAGAACCUUACCAAAUCUUGACAUCCUUUGACAACUCUAGAGAUAGAGCCUUCCCCUUCGGGGGACAAAGUGACAGGUGGUGCAUGGUUGUCGUCAGCUCGUGUCGUGAGAUGUUGGGUUAAGUCCCGAAACGAGCGCAACCCUUAAGCUUAGUUGCCAUCAUUAAGUUGGGCACUCUAAGUUGACUGCCGGUGACAAACCGGAGGAAGGUGGGGAUGACGUCAAAUCAUCAUGCCCCUUAUGAUUUGGGCUACACACGUGCUACAAUGGACAAUACAAAGGG